rnacentral:lncRNA from 1 species
UUGGGUUAGGUUGUGGGGUGUUUUGUUUUGUUUUGUUUUGGUUGGCUUUUCCUUUUGAGCCAGGGUCUCACUGUGUCUUCCUGGCUGGCCUGAAACUCACUGUGUAGAACAGUCUGGCCUCAGUGCAGAUGUGUCUGCUUCAGACUUCCAAGUGCCAAGAUUAAAGGUGUGUACCACAUCACCACCCAACUUGAUUCUGUGCAACUUUUAAAUGGACCCCUCAGCUUUAUUUUCAUUUCUAAAUUAGUAUACAACAUUUGGUCGUUUUUAGUCAAACAUGGCGGCACACACCUAUAAUUCCAGUACUUUUGGGUCAGAGGCAGGAGGAUUGGCUACAAGUUUAAGGAGUUCCAGACCAGUCAGGGAUAGUGAGACCCUGUUUCAAAAAGCAAAAACAAACAAAAGACACAUACCAUGGACAAAGAUCUUUAUAGUCUUGGAUCUAUCUCCUUGCUCUUGAGAGCCGGUCUGGACAGGUGUUUCUGCUGGUAACAGUUGGCUGGUCUUUAUGAUGGCGGCACAAAACAUUUGGGAGUGGUAAGAGGUUUUCUAGAAACCUUGCUUGGUGAUAAGGACAAAGUUUUGCUUCAGCCUACUGUGUGUGAAUGAGUGAGUUGCUGAAAGAACUCCUUACCUUACUCUAGCCCUUCAGAGCAGAGCACAAGUGUUUUUAUGAACCCUGGUAGUGUAAUCCUGAUUCACUCAGGAUUUGGAUCUUCUACUCCCAGCAAGUCCAGGACCAAAAGAGGUGGGAGCAGACCUGAGAAACGCUGUGCAAAUGUGCAACCCCAUGACUUUAUGUAAGUGGGUCUGUGUAUGCUUGAGCAUCUGUACCUGUAGCUCUCAUGCUUUCUUCCAGAAGAUCCCUUCCUCACCCUCAGAAAUGUCCACUAGAAAUGCAAGAGAAAAUAAGGUCCCUGACAGUGAGAUUUUAUUGGUUUUGUUUUGAUUUUGGGUUUUAGUUUUUUGGGGUUUGUUGCUGUUGUUUGUUUGUUUGUUUAUGUGCUUCCUGCUCCAGACAACUGUUUAUAGGAUCC